AUAGUACCUUCCAUGAGAGGCUACCUGUAAUCAAAAUCCCAACUACAUAUUGCAAUCGCCAGUAAUUUGACGAGGUUUAUUGUUGCCAGUCUCAUGGACAUGUGGGAUGGUAAACAAUUUCAUCAAUUGCUGCGUGUGGAUGCGAGAGUUCUGAGGAAGUGGUUGGUCAUAGAUCUACUGAAGUGGUUAUGGAACGAGAGCAAAGAUAACAUUCAAGAUAUAGCCGGAGCUAUAAAGACCAUAUGUAACACCUGCGUGGAGAAAUAUAUCUAGAUAAAUUAAUCGCAUACCAUGGCUGAUCUGAGAAAGAAAUAUGGAUGGAUCUUGCUACAUUUUUUAAGUUGGUCAUAUUUUAAAUUCCCAUAUCAAUCAAUAAACAACAAUAAUGGAUUGAGAC